GUGCGAGACCGAUAGCGAACAAGUACCGUGAGGAAAAGAUGAAAAGGACUUUGAAAAGAGAGUUAAAGAGUACCUGAAACUGCUGAAAGGGAACCGAAUCGUAUCCAGUGUCUAUAAUCCAUGGCAUAUUUCAUUGGCGAAUGAGUGCGUGCGGCGUUUUGGAAGUGGUUUCCGCUCCUGUCGUUGUUGUGCAUUUUUUUGCUGGUGCCCUGUGCUGUGGUGGGACGUCAGAGUCAGUUUGUAUGUUGCGGGAAAUGGUUACUGGGGAGGUAGGUCACUUCGGUGGCCGUUAUAUCCUGGUGACUAGUCGUCGUGGUUGAGACUGAGGUGCCUACAAUGUGCUUUCGAGUCUAUGGGACUCUCGUUUGGCUGUUUGCUUUGAUAGCUUGCUAUGUUAGUGAACGUGUCGGGCGAUUGAGACCUGUAGUAACUUGUUGCUGUUCGGGACUUUGA
rnacentral:rRNA from 2 species